GGAUGAGAUGCAAUUUUAAUAGCACUCUCAAAUCCUUGCUUCUUCCACGAGGCUCCAGAGGCCCUAAUUCCCAGGCUUCCCUGCUGGGCUUCAUGCUUCUGAGAUGACAAAAUGGGAAAGAAGAAAAUUACUGGGCCGAAAGAGAGGAGCUGACCCAGCUUGGGACAGGAACUGCUGCAGCCGCUGGUAUGAGAUCUGUCUGGAGACACAAGCACAGCACUGAAAAGUCCCAGGCUCACUGCCUCUGGAGCAACGCUGGAGCUCACAUCCUGAGCCAAUCAUCACAGUCUGGAGAACGGGGUGCUCUGAUUGGUCAGAUCUUCUUCACAUGAACAUUGACCCAGCUCCCAGGAGCUGCUCACUGACAAGUGGGUUGCUUAGCAGUCAGUUCCUGUCUAUUUUUUGUCGUACCGUCUUGGCAGAAUCCUGCCAGGG